CCUUUCCGGUCCCGUCUAUAAGACCACGUUUAAAAGACGGCGGCUCCACAACUGUUUGAGUACGGAUCAAUACCAGCAUCAGCGUGUUACUUUAGACAUCUGAACCAAAGUUACAAUGGACCCCGCUCAUCUCUCGGAAAAAAACAUUUGCCCUGUACUAUGGCUGCACAGGGCCCACUGCUGCCAGCAUGACCGCAAUGAUGGUGGAUCUUGGCCUGCGUGCGCCUUUGUAUUUGUGGAGGACCUACUCGGGUAGGACCCACUAAGAGAAGCCCCAUGGAUGAUUAUGAAAGGCAGCGGGCAGAAUCGCUCUCCCUGUGCUGCGACCCCUUCGAUCAGCCCCUCCAUGAUCUGUUACCUAAAUCACUACAACUAGGGGACUUUGAUAAGCUCUUGUAGGGAAGUGCAAAAUUAACAGAAAAGGCCAACUUUAAGACUGGGGUGAAUCUGGUGGUGCUGCUGGGGCUGAAGGUGCAAUUAUUCCGAAAGGAGUUGCUGUGCGCCCUUGGACCAGCCCUCCCAUGAUCUGUUGCCUAAAUAAUCUGCGGGACUGACAAGCUCUUCCUGGAACCAGCCAAGCUAAAGGCCAUAACAGGGCCGGCGUAUGCAACGAGAUGGCUCUGGUGGUGAGUGACGGGAUGCCAUCUUGUGAAAGACUAGGACAAGUUACCCCCUGCUCCGCUGCCCCUAUAGGACACUUCUGGCAGUGCAAUGGAGCCGACCCAUUGACCUGCAUGAUCACAUUGCUUGUAUUACUCUACUUCACAUGAAUAUCUUUUGUGAAUCCUCUUCAGCAACAUGGUACAUUUCUGUUUGAGAGAUAAAAAUGGAAACCGUUUCCCAUGCAUUCAGCUGCACAUCAGUUAUUUCAAUGUCCAGUUUUUCCUGUUUUCUUUUUCAAAAAUUCUGUUGUCUCCAUAUUCAGUGCUGUGAUGCCAUGGUAUAACUUGCUUAUAAUGCCUUUUGGAACUCCUGAGAUUUAGGCAUUAAUAAAUGUAUAA